UCUGGGAGUUGAAGUCCACCCAUCUUCAAGCUUCCAAGGUUGAGAAACAGUGGGCUAGGGAAUUCUGGGAGUUGAAGUCCACCCAUCUUCAAGCUUCCAAGGUUGAGAAACACUGGGCUAGGGGAUUCUGGGAGUUGAAGUCCACCCAUCUUCAAGCUUCCAAGGUUGAGAAACACUGGGCUAGGGGAUUCUGGGAGUUGAAGUCCACCCAUCUUCAAGCUUCCAAGGUUGAGAAACAGUGGGCUAGGGGAUUCUGGGAGUUGAAGUCCACCCAUCUUCAAGCUUCCAAGGUUGAGAAACACUGGGCUAGGGAAUUCUGGGAGUUGAAGUCCACCCAUCUUCAAGCUUCCAAGGUUGAGAAACAGUGGGCUAGGGAAUUCUGGGAGUUGAAGUCCACCCAUCUUCAAGCUUCCAAGGUUGAGAAACAGUGGGCUAGGGAAUUCUGGGAGUUGAAGUCCACCCAUCUUCAAGCUUCCAAGGUUGAGAAACACUGGGCUAGGGAAUUCUGGGAGUUGAAGUCCACCCAUCUUCAAGCUUCCAAGGUUGAGAAACAGUGGGCUAGGGGAUUCUGGGAGUUGAAGUCCACCCAUCUUCAAGCUUCCAAGGUUGAGAAA